CUCAUUUUUCUCUUGCUGCUGCAAUGUAAGAAGUGCCUUUCACCUCCUGCCGUGAUUCUGAGGCCUCCCCAGCCAUGUGGAACUGAACUCCUGAGAACUGGGAAAUGACUGUUUAAUGAAAUAAGAGAGAAGUGACAAUGAGACUGCCCUGUCCAGAGACUCCCAAAUAAAGAAGGAGUCUCUGUAAUGACAUCCCCUGUGACAUUCCUGAUACACCACCUGAAAGGAGAGAAGAUGGUAGUCUGAAAGGGACAGAAUGAGAGAGGGAGCUGGAGAAAGAAAUGAAUAAACACGAAUGCAUCUGGAGAAUGAGGCGUCUUGGAAUCUGGAAAGUGAGGCAUCGUGGAAGAGAGAUGAAGGUUCAAGCUCCAAGAUGUCCAGAAGCAAAUGCAAAGAGGAAGUACUGAAAUGGAUAUGUGCGAAACUCAUCAAGAUUCUCAUUUGGCUACAGAAAAUAUUUGGCGAGUUGGAAGUUUAGUUGUGUUAAUGAUAUGCUACACCUUCUACACCUGUAAUGUGCCAAAAAUAACUGAACACUUUACAUUUCUCUUUAAAUCCAGUAAUAAUCCAUUAAAGAGAUAAAGGUGCCAACGUGCAGGCAAGUAAACCACAUUGCCAAGUAUGCAAGCUAAUACAUUCCCCAGGAUGGAUUUAGAGUUUUCUAUUUCAAGCAAAAUUUACAGAAAGUUAAAUGCACAAAUCUUCAGUGCACAACUACACGAGAUUAGCAACUAUAUACAUCCAUGUAAACAACACUAUCACGAUGAAGAACAUUUUUAUCACCCAAGAAAUUACCUAAUGUCCCCUUCCAGUCAAUCCACUCACCCCAGGAAACAACUAUGGUUCUGAUUUUUAUCACUAGGUAUUAGAACUUCACAUCUUAGGAAAUCGUAUAGUGCUUUCUCAUUUGCUUCUUGCUAGUUUAAGCAGUAUCAUUUUUUUGAAAUUCAUUCAUAUCGUUCCAUGUCAUCAGUAAUUUGUUACCUUGAUGUAGCUGAGGAGUGUUCCACUAUAUGAAUAUACCACAACUUAUGUACCCAUUGUACUCUUGACAUUGGCUAUUGUUAGUAAAGCCUUUGGCUAUUUACUAGUAAAGCUGCUAUAAACAUGCUCAAGUCUUGUUGUAGAAACAUUUUCAUUUCUCAUAGGUAAAUAGUCAGGGAUGGAAUUUCUGAGUCACAACAGAGGUAUAUGUUUAACUUUAUGAAAAUUAUCAAGCUGUUUUCCAAACUGGAUGCUCCAUUACCUACUUCUCUGAGUAAGAUCUAGGAGUUCCACUUACUCCACAUCCUCACCAACAUUUGUUGUUGCCACAACGAAGUGGUGCAAUAGUUUAUUUUUAUUUUUGUUUACAUUUCUCUGAUGACUAAUGAUAUCAAGCACAUUUUCAUGUGCAAUUCACCAUUUUUUUUAAAUGUCCAAAACUUUCAUUCGGUUGUAAAAAAAAAACAGCAGUAUCUUUUUAUUAAUGGUUGGCUCUUGUUCUGGGUGAAGUUCAUCAUGGAAUAUAUAUUGCUAAUAUUUUUCCCACAUUACAGCUAAACUUUUAAUUUUCUUUUGAUGAGCAGAGAAUUUUUGUUGUUUUAUUUUGAUGAAAUCCAAUUUAUUGCUUUUCUGCAGCUAGUGUUUUUUCUUUCAUCUCUAUAAAAUCUUGCCUAGCUUAAGAUCAUAAUAUAGUCUUCUGUGAUUUUUCUUCACAAAACCUUUACAGCUUUAGCUUUUAUAAUUGGAUCUAUAAUUUAUCUACAUUAAUUUUGUGAAUAUUGUGAAUUGUGGCUAAGAUUCAUUAUUUCCAUGGUUAUCCAGUUAUUCCAGCACUGUUUGUUCAAAAAGACUUUCCAUUGAAGUGUCUUUGAGCUUUUAUUGAAAUUAACUGACUAUGUGUGUACUGAUUUAUUUCUCAGCUUUACUUUGUCCCAGUGAUCAGCUUGUAUACCCUUAUGCUAAUGCAAUACUAUCUUGACUACUGUGGCUUGCUGCAGGUCUUGAUAUCAAGUAACAUAAUUUACCUGAAUUUGUUCUUUUUCAAGAUAGCUUUGGAAGUUCUUUCUUGUAUUUUCAUAUAAAUUUUAGAAUAAAGUUGCCUAUUUCCACCAAAAAAAUGCAAAUUUCAUUUAGUUUGUAAUUAGGUCUAAUCAAACCAUAUUAAAUCUUCCAGUUCAUUAACAUGUUAUCUAUCUUCAUAAACUUAGGUCUUCUUUAAAUCUCUGAGGAAUAUGUUAGAAUGUUUAGUAGAGUUUCUGUAUCUUUUUGGGUAGUGCAAAGGGGGGCAUAAAGAGAGAAUGGUUAAUGGGUACAAAAAUACAGUUAAAAAGAAUAAAAUCUAGCAUUCAGUAGUAAAAUAGCACAACUAUAGUUGAUAAUUUAUGGUAUAUUUCAAAAUAACUAAAAGGGUGGAAUUGAAAUGUUCCUAACACAAAGAAAUGGUAAAUGUUUGAGGUGAUGCCUACCCUAAUUUGAUCAUUAUACAUUGUAUGCUUGUAUCAAAAUAUCACAUGUACC